UACAGAGGGUGCAAGCGUUAAUCGGAAUUACUGGGCGUAAAGCGCAUGUAGGCGGCCAAGCAAGUCGGGUGUGAAAGCCCAGGGCUCAACCCUGGAAGUGCACUCGAAACUGCUCGGCUGGAGUCUCGGAGAGGAUCGCGGAAUUCUGGGUGUAGAGGUGAAAUUCGUAGAUAUCCAGAGGAACACCAGUGGCGAAGGCGGCGAUCUGGACGAGUACUGACGCUGGGAUGCGAAAGCGUGGGGAGCAAACAGG
rnacentral:rRNA from 1 species